rnacentral:lncRNA from 1 species
ACCCACUGCACUCUUUGGGCUCCAUGAGCUGGCUGUUAGGGCUGCUCUGAGCCAGAGGAGAGUCUCAGCUCUAUUCAUGCCUCCUCGUCAAGGAUGAGUUGGUGCCUCUGCUAGCUGAUCUCAGUUACUCCCAGGCAGGAAGUGCCCUCUGGUGUCUGUCAGGUCUUCAGCCUGGGAAAGGAUGACAGAAAUUGACAAGCAGAUGGAAUCUCGUGUAGCCCAGGAGGUUCAUUAUCAUCAUGACAGGGAGAGUGGCAGCAGGCAGCCAUGGUGGAGGAAAAGUAGGCUUUCAUCCCAGGACUCCGGAGGCAGAGAGGAUCAACAGCAUAAGGCCAGGCUGUGCUGCCCAGGGAGAGUCUGUCCUAAGAAAGACUGAAAUCCCCACAAUCCUCUGCAGUACUCCUGUUUGCCCCAAGCAACUUUCCACGCAUGGGGCUGGCAAGCUUGUAACAGGCCCUGAGCUACUGGCCCUUUAAGAUUGCCUUCUUCCCCCACGUGCUGUCUGGUUGGGCUGGCGAUGCUGACGCAUGCUUGACGUCAAUAGCAGCUGGUGGAGUUUGGGCACGAGGAGAGAAGUUGGGAUGGGGGUUGGGGGGAGCGGAGCAAGAAGGCGAUUCAUUUGCAUUUAAAGGGGCCUCUCUUGAGUUAAUUCGCGCUUUACAGAAAUACGUCCUGGGCAAACUUUCUGCCCUAGGCUGGGAAUAGAGGCAAGAAAAUGGCGUGAUACAACUUAAGUCCAAGGCUAUGAGUUUGGUAUGUUCUUCCGCGGAAAAAGAGAAAUAGUCCGUCGGUGCCCAAGCUGGGAGCACGUGACCCGGAGGGGGUGGAGGCAGAAGCUGGGGGUGGGGGGGAGACUACUGUAAGGUUGUGUUUGUCUGCCCCCACCCCCACAUCCUGCCCACCCAACUGCAGCUGCCACCACAUCCUGCCCAG